UGGGGAAUCUUGGACAAUGGGGGCAACCCUGAUCCAGCCAUGCCGCGUGAGUGAUGAAGGCCUUAGGGUCGUAAAGCUCUUUCGCCUGUGAAGAUAAUGACGGUAGCAGGUAAAGAAACCCCGGCUAACUCCGUGCCAGCAGCCGCGGUAAUACGGAGGGGGUUAGCGUUGUUCGGAAUUACUGGGCGUAAAGCGCACGUAGGCGGACCAGAAAGUUGGGGGUGAAAUCCCGGGGGCUCAACCCCGGAACUGCCUCCAAAACUAUUGGUCUAGAGUUCGAGAGAGGUGAGUGGAAUUCCAAGUGUAGAGGUGAAAUUCGUAGAUAUUUGGAGGAACACCAGUGGCGAAGGCGGCUCACUGGCUCGAUACUGACGCUGAGGUGCGAAAGUGUGGGGAGCAAACAGGAUUAGAUACCCUGGUAGUCCACAUCCGUAAAACGAUGAAUGCCAGUCGUCGGGUAGCAUGC
rnacentral:rRNA from 1 species